GUAGAAAGACAGACUCCCCCCUCAUGGGGGCCCCCUUGGCAGACCGAGGAGGAAGCGGGGCCCAGAGCCAGUUAGCACCCUGCCCAAAGCUACACGGGACAUGCUGGCAGAUCCUCCAUGAGAAGCCGGGGAAGCCCGGUGGCUGCCUCCCCCGUGCCAGG